UACGGAGGGGGCUAGCGUUGUUCGGAAUUACUGGGCGUAAAGCGCACGUAGGCGGACUGUUAAGUCGGGGGUGAAAUCCUGGGGCUCAACCUCAGAAUUGCCUCCGAUACUGGCAGUCUCGAGUGCGGGAGAGGUGAGUGGAAUUCCCAGUGUAGAGGUGAAAUUCGUAGAUAUUGGGAAGAACACCAGUGGCGAAGGCGGCUCACUGGCCCGUAACUGACGCUGAGGUGCGAAAGCGUGGGGAGCAA
rnacentral:rRNA from 1 species